UAAAAACCCCGACUUCGGAAGGGGUGUAUUUAUUAGAUACAAAACCAAUGCCCUUCGGGGCUCUUUGGUGAUUCAUGAUAACUAUACGAAUCGCACGGCCUUGCGCCGGCGAUGGUUCAUUCAAAUUUCUUCCCUAUCAACUUUCGAUGUUUGGGUAUUGGCCAAACAUGGUUGCAACGGGUAACGGAGGGUUAGGGCUCGACCCCGGAGAAGGAGCCUGAGAAACGGCUACUACAUCCAAGGAAGGCAGCAGGCGCGCAAAUUACCCAAUCCCGACUCGGGGAGGUAGUGACAAUAAAUACUGAUACAGGGCCCUUUCGGGCCUUGUAAUUGGAAUGAGUACAAUUUAAAUCCCUUAACGAGGAACAAUUGGAGGGCAAGUCUGGUGCCAGCAGCCGCGGUAAUUCCAGCUCCAAUAGCGUAUAAUAAAGUUGUUGUGGUUAAAAAGCUCGUAGUUGAACCUUGGGCCUGGCUGGCCGGUCCGCCUCACCGCGUGCACUGGUCCGGCCGGGCCUUUCCCUCUGUGGAACCCCAUACCCUUCACUGGGCGUGGCGGGGAAACAGGACAUUUACUUU
rnacentral:rRNA from 1 species